UUUGAUGUCUUUUUCACCAAGCAUUCAUUAAAAGAGAGGCUUUUGGCAGAGAUCUGACUUCAUAUGCUUUAUGCAGCACUCUGCGUGUGGAAUGCAAAGACUAGUGUUGGAGGGAACGGGACAGCAAUAGUGGAAAGCCACAAUAGAAAACCUGAACUCAAGACAACAACAGUGGAAAGCCACAAUAGAAAACCUGAACUCAACUCAACAACAAUUGAAAGCCACAAUGCAAAGCCUGAACU
rnacentral:lncRNA from 1 species